GCUGAAGACGGCAUGUGACAGGGAACGGGAUCGCCGCUCCAGGCGCCGCCCGCCUCUGAGUCCCGAACAAACAGUGUCCGCUGUCCCGGCGCCAGCAGACGCCAGCCGGCCCGGGACGCUCGGCCCUUGGCGGUGCCGCCGCCGGACACGGUGCCCAGUGAACUUCCCCGACACCCGGCCGGGCCCCCGCUGUCUCCCUAGCACCCCAGGAGGGAGGAGCAGCGGCCAGGCGGCCGAGGAUUUCUGUCAGCGCCGGCGCCCCCGAGCGGGGAGACAUGAACGGCUUCACCCCUGAGGAGAUGAGCCGCGGCGGGGACGCGGCUGCCGCGGUGGCUGCCGUGGUGGCCGCCGCCGCCGCCGCCGCCGCCGCCUCGGCUGGGAACGGGGCCGGGGUGGGCGCUGGGGCUGAGGUGCCGGGCGCCGGGGCGGUGUCGGCGGCCGGGCCCCCGGGAGCGGCCGGGCCGGGCCCCGGGCAGCUGUGCUGUCUGCGGGAGGACGGCGAGCGGUGCAGCCGGGCGGCGGGCAACGCCAGCUUCAGCAAGAGGGUGCAGAAGAGCAUCUCCCAGAAGAAGGUGAAGAUCGAGCUGGACAAGAGCGCAAGGCAUCUUUACAUUUGUGAUUAUCAUAAAAACUUAAUUCAGAGUGUUCGAAACAGAAGAAAGAGAAAAGGGAGUGAUGAUGAUGGAGGUGACUCACCUGUUCAAGAUAUUGAUACUCCAGAGGUCGAUUUAUACCAAUUACAAGUAAAUACGCUUAGGAGAUACAAACGACACUUCAAGCUACCAACCAGACCAGGACUUAAUAAAGCACAACUUGUUGAAGUGAAUAAAGUACAAAAAGAAUGAGUGGGAGGACUUGCCACAGGAGCAACGCCGACCAAGAAGUUCGUACCUCGUGGCUGCAGAGCCGGAGCUUACAGAAGAUUUGGGAGUUCUGAGGACAGCAGUGUCUGGAAAUUCUUGACCAGGUUUGGGAGCCCCAAUCCUAAGCAACAAAUGGUAGUCUGCUGUCACUCCUGUUUCACAGAUGGACCAAGGAAGAGAGAAGUUGAGUAACUCAUUAAGGUUAUAUUACAUUAUAACAUUAUAACAUGAUUCAGUCCCUCCUUGCUCUUGUCUUGCUUCUGUGUAAUCAGAAUAUACUUCCUCGCGCCCGUGGAGCUUGGGCCUGGCCAGUGUGACUUUGCUUUGGUCAGUGGAAUGUUGACUGGACGUGAUGUGUGCCACAUGAGAACACAUGCCCUAAGGAGUGGCUGCUUCUUGUGUCCUGGGUCUUGGAAUGAGAUGGCACAGGAAGGGGAGCUGAACCCAACUGAGCUCAGCACAACAGAGUUGAAGCUGACCUACAGUCAACCUGCAGCCCUCAUGAAACAUGAGCAAGAAAUAAAUAUUUGCUUUUUAAGCCACUGGGAAGUCAAGGUUGCCUCUUGCUGCAGCAAAGGCUGACCAAUACAGGUUCUGAGAAAAGUCUAAUUCCGAAAUCUCUUUGGAAACUCUGAAAAAGAACACUUGCUUUCAGCGUGAUGUCUAAUUUAUUCAAUUUGAGAACCCACUGUGGGUUAGAUUUUAUGUUGCUGAGGUUCUCAAAUCAUUGGUGUCUUUGCUGAGUUCCACUCUCUCACUGAGGCUUAUCCUGGCACCAAUGUAAUUCUGCAGUCUGCUCUCCUACCCCACCUCAUCCAGACUCUAGUUCCCCCUUACCUGAUAUACCUUUUCUCUUUUAAAAAGCACUUAUUAUUGUCUGAGGUACCCUAUAAUUUAACUUAUUUAUAAUGUUUUAUUUAAAUGUCUCCCCUUGUGGAUUUUAAGAGAGAAGGUUUUUGUCUGUUUUGUUUACUGACUCCUCCUAAACAAUGCCUGGCAUCCAGUCAGUGCUAAAAAAAGGGGAAAAAAGUACUUGUUAACAGGUAAAGGAAUGAAAAUUUCAAAGCACUUCUCAAGAGUAGCUGUUGUAGUUUAAUAACAUGGCCAGUAGAGGUCAUGGGUGAGUUCUUUAGAGACAUUGAACCCGUAACUGCUCUUGCGUCUGUUUAUACAAGGUGUGUUCACUCUGAUAUCUCAGUGAUCGAUGUGGAUUACCACAUGAUCAGUUCGGUGGUGGCAGUUGGCAUAUAGCUCAUGAAAACUGCUGAAAGGUAUAAAUUGAUGGCUUAGUCUUAGGAGCCAAGAUAGGGGUAAAAAACAAACCAAACGUGUUGCCGUCGAGUCGAUUCCGACUCAUAGCCACCCUACAGGGUAGAGUAGAACUGCCCCAUAGAGUUUCCAAGGAGGUGCUGGUGGAUUACGAACUGCCGAUCUUCUGGUUAGCAGCCGAGCUCUUACCACUGUGCCACCAGGGCUCCGUAAGGUGGGCUUGGAGAGGAGCAAAUAGUAAACACGAUGCAAGAUGGGGCAGAAAGUAAUGGCUUUUACGGCUAUGUCUAUUUAUAUAAAUUGCUUAUAAUGAAAGUUCAGUUCAGUCAAACAACCAGAGAAGAUAACAAAUGCUUAUUUUUCAAUCGCAAAGUUAUUUGCUUGGAUUAACAACCCCUCCUCCCCAAAACUCUCUCUGUGUGUGUUUGUAUACGGAGAAAAUCUGCUAAUCCUAGGACACUUGACUGGCCUUUCCUCCUCUCUCUUUAUGACAAACAAUGACAAAUAAAGGAUCAGAAGCCAUGAUUCUGCCUGAAUGUGGUUAUUUCACUCCAGCUCGGUAGUUCAUCCCUAAAUGUCACAGCAUCUAACCACAUAGGGGAACGGGGACACUGGGUCGGAUGUGAAUCGUUUCCUUUACAUUGUAUGUUGAUUUUCAUGGAUUGGUUAGUGCCCGGAUAAACAUUUGAGAAUGAAGGCGAUUUUUUUACUGAUUGCCUCCCACAUGUCAGGCACUGUGGUAAGUACUUUUACAUGUUGUCUCACUUAAUCACUUAUCGAAGACGCACCUAGAACUUAGUAGAAGCUCAGCAAUUGGUGAAUGAAUGAGUAAAUGACUGCUAGGAAGAAGGACCUGUUUCUCUGCUUGCUUUGCUUUGUGUGAGGAGGUUGGUUGGUUUUAUUUCCCUGACAGAACUAAACCCAAUUUAACCCCAGAAUACGAGUACCGGAUUUUCAGCGUUCUUUAUUAAUUUAACAUUUGCUGUUGAGUCAACUCUGACUCACGACAACUCCAUGUGUGUCAGAGUAGAACUGUGCUCUGUAGGGUUUUCAAUGGCUGAUUUUUCUGAAGUAGAUCACCAGGCCUUUCUUCCAAGGCACCUCUAGGUGAACUCAAACCUCCAACCUCUCUGUUAGCAGCUGAGCAGUUAACCAUUUGCACCACCCAGGGCCUCCCUUUAUUCGUUAUAGUUGUCCAUUUGCUGCGCCCUAAAAAGUAGAUAUGGAACACAGUCUCUGUCACAAAAUACUGAAAGAUCUUGAUGGAUGGGGAUUUAAGAUGAAUUAAUGUUGAUCCUGGCCUUGUUGGGGCAAUUAACCUUUCUUUCCAUCUUGUACAAUGAAAGUAAUAAUUAUAUAACUCCUACACUUUGUGCUCCAGAAUAUGUCAUAAUAAAAAGAUAAGAUGCCAUAUUUGGAAGUUAUUUAAUAACUCAAAUGGAAAAGUUAUUCAAUAAAUGAGGGUUUCAUGGAAAUUUUUCUAAGAUGCUGUCUUAGGCUGGGUUCUCUAGAGAAGCAAAAGCAGUAAACCAUAUAUAUACGUAUAUAU